rnacentral:rRNA from 1 species
UAAAAGUAGAAUACCAUGAUUCCCUUAGUAACGGCGAGUGAAGUGGGAAGUGCUCAAAUUUAAAAUCCUUCUCAAAAGGAAUUGUAAUUUAGAGAAUGUUUUGCAUGGAAGUAAAGGUUAAAGUCUGCUGGAAAGCAUGCGCUAGAAAGGGUGAUAGCCCCGUUCAACCAUUUACAACCUAAUCAGCGAACAUUUCAAAGAGUCAGGUUGCUUGGGAAUGCAGCCUAAAUUUGGUGGUAAACUCCAUCUAAAGCUAAAUAUUGAUCAGUGACCGAUAGCAAACAAGUACCGUGAGGGAAAGAUGAAAAGAACCUUGAAAAGGGGGUUAAAAGUACGUGAAAUUGUUAUUAGGAAAGCACUUGGAAGUAUUGUGGAUUAGAUGAGUCUGUUUCGGCAGAUACUGAUCUAAUUAGUCAUGAUCAGUUAAAGUUUGUAAAAAAAGUUAAAGGGAAGGUAGAUUUGUAAUGAAUCACUUAUAGACCUUUAUCAUUUACGGAUUAUGACUGAGGAAUGCUAGUUAAAGUUAUUUUGGAUUAAGUUUUAUGGAGAUGAAUUAAACAGCAAGCUGAUUAAUUUAUUCAAAAUGAACUUAAUAUUUAAUGACUUAACUUACAGGAUCAUGAUUAAAUAGUUCCAAAUGACCCGUCUUGAAACACGGACCAAGGAGUCUAACAUGGUUGCGAGUUACAGGGUGAAAAACCUUUGAGCGCAAUGAAAGUGAUAAAGAUAGGAAAGUUUUUGCACUAUCAACCUAAUCAGAAGAUAAUUUCUGACGAUUUAGAGUUAGAGCAAUUAUGUUGGGACCCGAAAGAUGGUGGGCUAUGCUUGAAUAGGGUAAAGCCAGAGGAAACUCUGGUGGAGGCUCGUAGCGAUUCUGACGUGCAAAUCGAUCGUCAAAUUUGAGCAUAGGGCGAAAGACUAAUCGACUGCUAUGGCAC